GGAAUCUUGGGGGUAGAGUCGGUGGUAAUAGGGGGUGGUGAAGCUUUAGACGGAUUUAGUGGGGUUGAGGGGUGUGUAGGUUGGUUGGUAAGUCAAUGGUGAAAUCUCCGGGCUUAACUCGGAAACUGACAUUGGUACUAUCAGUCUUGAAUAUCGUGGAGGUCAGUAGAAUAUGUCAUGUAGCGGUGAAAUGCGUAGAUAUGACAUAGAAUACCAAUUGCGAAGGCAGCUGGCUACACGAAUAUUGACACUCAGGCACGAAAGCGUGGGGAUCAAACAGGAUUAGAUACCCUGGUAGUC
rnacentral:rRNA from 1 species